UCCUGGCUCAUCCGUGGAGUCUUGCGGGGAAAUGUCUCCUUGGUGCUGGUGGAGAACAAAACUGGGAAGGAACAAAGCAGAAUGGUCUGGCAUGUUGCCACCAAUGAAGGCUUGAGCCUGUGGCAGUGGACGGUGCUGCCUCUUCUCAAUGUGACUGACAGGUUCUGGCUGCAGAUUGUUGUGUGGUGGGGGCAAGGAUCCAGAGCCACCGUGGCUUUUGACAAUAUCUCCAUCAGCCUGGACUGCUACCUCACCAUCAGUGGGGAGGACAAGAUACCACAGGAUACGGCACCCAAAUCAAGAAAUCUAUUUGAGAGAAACCCAAACAAGGAGCCAAAAGCCUGGGAAAGUA